rnacentral:rRNA from 1 species
UACGGGGGGGGCAAGCGUUGUUCGGAAUUACUGGGCGUAAAGCGUGCGCAGGCGGUUGUGCAAGACAGAUGUGAAAUCCCCGGGCUUAACCUGGGAAUUGCAUCUGUGACUGUACGGCUAGAGUGUGUCAGAGGGGGGUAGAAUUCCACGUGUAGCAGUGAAAUGCGUAGAGAUGUGGAGGAAUACCGAUGGCGAAGGCAGCCCCCUGGGAUAACACUGACGCUCAUGCACGAAAGCGUGGGGAGCAAACAGG